rnacentral:lncRNA from 1 species
AUCAUAUAUCUGAUAAGGCAUUAAUAUCCUAUUCACUCUUUGUCCUUCUUCUCUUAAAACUUACAAAAAAUUCUGUGCAUACACUGGUACAUCUAAUUUAUAUCAUAAGAAGCAUCAUACUGCAGGCAGAACAUAGAUUCUGGAGCUGCAUUGCUCAAUUUGGAAUCCUGACACCGUCACUAAUUGUGUGAACUUGAGUAAGUACCAGGCUCCACUGGGCCUCUCUUUCUGUGGUAGGCAGGCUGUAAGAUGGCCCCCAGUGAUCGCUACCUUUUGCUAUUCAGUUUUACAUAGUCCCAUCCUUUUGAGUAAGUUGUUUCUAACCAAUACAAGCAAUGAUGAGGAGAUAUCACUUCCAUGAUUAAGUUCCAAAAUUCUGUGACAUUUAUCUGGCUAGCAAAUUCUCUCUUUUUCCGGCUUUGAGGAAACAAGAUGAUGUGUUGACUAGGCCCAUGUGGCAAGUAGCUGAGGGCGGCGGCCAGCCAACAACCAGCAAGGAAUGGAAGCCCACAGUCCAACAGCCCUUGAAGAACUGAACCCAGCAACCACAUAUGUGAGCUUGGAAGCGGAUCCUUCCUCAUCACAUCUUCAGGCCGUCCCACUUCACUGCGGACUUGGUGCAGUUGAGCACCCUCUGAUUCUUGUCCACAGCUGUGCUCCAAGACACAGAGCCCUCAAAACCUUCCCAUACAGCACGUACUCAUCAGUUUGUGUCCACGCAUCAUGGAGACACCAGGACCUAAGUGGGGAAACGGGCUGGCAGGGGCACCACCACCAGUAACAACCAGCAUUACUUCAUGACGACGAGGUGGACUUUGGCCUGACCCAGAGAUGAAAGGAAAACAAAGAUAUAUCAACAAAAGUGUAUAAAAUAAAGCCGUAUGAGGAAGUUCACUGGUGAAUUGAAGCAGUGCUCUGACACUGGAACCCUUCAAGCAGAACUUGAAUGACCAUGAUGUGGAUGCUAUCAAGGGGAUUCCUGCAUUAAACAGGAGCACAGAUCAUGAAGAUCCAUGGAGAAAGGCACCAAAAUCAGGUCAGAAUCAGGAGACCCCACAUCAUCCCUGAGAUCUUUAAGGUCAUCUCUUCUGAUUAUGCUUAGGGGGCUGAGGACGAAUCCAGCAGUCCUCGCAGAUGUACUGUACACACUCUUGCAGUCACGAAACCUACAGUGCCUGACAAAGGGGCAGCAGCAGGGGUGGCAGAGAUAACAAUAGGAGCCACAGCAGGUGCUGUGGAUACUCAGGACAGAUCGACUUGACACCGGCAGGAGCAGCCUUCAUGGAUCCAGGAGGAAGCAGAGCCAGCAUGCCCAGGGCGGGUGCUUCCGGCGUGUCCCCACCAUGAGGUCACCAUCUUUCUCCACCAGGUCCCAACAAUGGACAAACUCAAAUGACAGCCUUCACAUCGCUCCAACCCACUUACUUUUAGAUUUUCCUUGCACCGUGAUGAAGAAAACAAUCACGGGAAUGCAGACCACAGUUAAAAUAAUACUCAAAAUUACCCACAUAAUAUUUCUGUUGAAGAAGGAAAAUAUUGACAUCAGUUCGGGUCUGCAUCUCUGAUUCACCUUGAGGGCAUACAAUGCUAAGUAGGGAGCAAGGCUACAGGCAGCAGGAGAGAGUGUGAAUGAAGGAACGAGUACAUUGGAAACAGUAGACUGAUUCUUGGGAUGCUCUACUUGGAAUCGUGGUGGAGCUGCCCACUAAUCAAUGCCCAGUGGUUUGGCAGACUAAAAGUUACAAAAUAAGGAAUGAAUGUUGUCUUCUCAGAGGUGACUUCGUGUGAGUCUGUCUGUGUUAAUUCUUUUCCCUGCUCCAUCCGGAAGGCACGAAAUUUCACCUUGAAAUGCACAGGAGUGACCUCACAGUGGAUUCUGUGACAUCAAACAAGCUAUAGCCUGAGACCCUAGUCUCCAGUCAAGUGGAGCCCCACCUCACCCCCAUGCUCAAUGGAGCCAAGAGAAGUGCUCCAUCUUGCAUCAACCACUGCCUGCCUUUGGUUCCCCAAGGUUAUGGAGGAAAGUCAUCUCCUGUGGGCUGGGGAGCACCACAACCUUCUUCUCUUCUUGCUGCUCUUCUCUCUGAAGGCCCUGAACGUAGAUACAGUACUAAGUCUGGUCUGUAGAUUAAGCAAGAACAGGACUCAUGUUUCCUCGGGAUAUUCAUUGGCGGGGAGGAGGGGAAUGGCAGUGUUUGUCAGGCUAUGGUCUAGACUUAGCAAUGUCACUUCUAAGUAUGUACCCGAGAGAAACUCUCACACAUCUGUUCCGGGAGACAACUAUAAGAAUGUAGCACAAUGUAAGAGCAAAACAUUGGAAAUAGCCCCAAAUGUCCAUCAACCGGGGAACUGAUAAAUUAUGGAAUAUGUAUACUGUGAGAUACAACGGGGGCAGCUAUGCACAUCGGCAUGGAUGAAUCUCAUCUACGUUAAAGUCAAAACAGUCACAGAACACAUGCGCUUGAGCUCAAUGUACAAAACAGUUAAUCGCAAUACCAAACUAUGAAUUAUUUAGGGUAGAUAUUUGGCAAAAUUAGAAAAAAAGCAGGUAACUGUCAGGCGUAAAGGAGGGAGAUGUCAUCAGGGAAAUUUACUCGAGCUUCAAUAGUGUUGGCAAUUGUUCUAUUUCAUAAACAAGGUGGUGGGUACACAGAUGUUUAUUUUUGAAUAUAUUCACGUUUCUGAGAGCUGGAUGGUCUUAAGAUGUGGUUAUCAUUGUCAUGGAUAUAUCUUAACCAAUUUCUCUUAGUACAUUUUACUUUUUAUGUGUUCACAAGGGUGAAAAAUGUCAAAAUCAAAUCUGAAAGAUUUUUUUAAUGAGUAUAAAACAUUCAAA